CCUGCAUGAAGUCGGAAUUGCUAGUAAUCGCAGAUCAGCAUGCUGCGGUGAAUACGUUCCCGGGCCUUGUACACACCGCCCGUCACACCAUGGGAGUCGGUAACACCCGAAGUCGGUAGCCUAACCGUAAGGAGGGCGCCGCCGAAGGUGGGAUUGAUGACUGGGGUGAAGUCGUAACAAGGUAAC
rnacentral:rRNA from 1 species